ensembl:rRNA 5S_rRNA 5S ribosomal RNA
UCUAUAGCCAUACCACCCUGAAUGCACCCCGAUCUUGUCUGAUCUCGGAAGCUAAGCAGGGUUGAGCCUGGUUAGUACGUGGACAGGAGAAUUCAAUAUCCAAGUAUAAGAGGCAUAUAGAA